CCUACGGGAGGCAGCAGUGGGGAAUAUUGCACAAUGGGCGGAAGCCUGAUGCAGCAACGCCGCGUGCGGGAUGACGGCCUUCGGGUUGUAAACCGCUUUCGCCUGUGACGAAGCGUGAGUGACGGUAAUGGGUAAAGAAGCACCGGCUAACUACGUGCCAGCAGCCGCGGUGAUACGUAGGGUGCGAGCGUUGUCCGGAUUUAUUGGGCGUAAAGGGCUCGUAGGUGGUUGAUCGCGUCGGAAGUGUAAUCUUGGGGCUUAACCCUGAGCGUGCUUUCGAUACGGGUUGACUUGAGGAAGGUAGGGGAGAAUGGAAUUCCUGGUGGAGCGGUGGAAUGCGCAGAUAUCAGGAGGAACACCAGUGGCGAAGGCGGUUCUCUGGGCCUUUCCUGACGCUGAGGAGCGAAAGCGUGGGGAGCGAACAGGCUUAGAUACCCUGGUAGUCCACGCUGUAAACGGUGGGUACUAGGUGUGGGGUCCAUUCCACGGGUUCCGUGCCGUAGCUAACGCUUUAAGUACCCCGCCUGGGGAGUACGGCCGCAAGGCUAAAACUCAAAGGAAUUGACGGGGCCCCGCACAAGCGGCGGAGCAUGCGGAUUAAUUCGAUGCAACGCGUAGAACCUUACCUGGGUUUGACAUGGAUCGGGAGUGCUCAGAGAUGGGUGUGCCUCUUUUGGGGUCGGUUCACAGGUGGUGCAUGGCUGUCGUCAGCUCGUGUCGUGAGAUGUUGGGUUAAGUCCCGCAACGAGCGCAACCCUUGUUCACUGUUGCCAGCACGUUAUGGUGGGGACUCAGUGGAGACCGCCGGGGUCAACUCGGAGGAAGGUGGGGAUGACGUCAAGUCAUCAUGCCCCUUAUGUCCAGGGCUUCACGCAUGCUACAAUGGCUGGUACAGAGAGUGGCGAGCCUGUGAGGGUGAGCGAAUCUCGGAAAGCCGGUCUCAGUUCGGAUUGGGGUCUGCAACUCGACCUCAUGAAGUCGGAGUCGCUAGUAAUCGCAGAUCAGCAACGCUGCGGUGAAUACGUUCCCGGGGCUUGUACACACCGCCCGUCAAGUCAUGAAAGUUGGUAACACCCGAAGCCGGUGGCCUAACCGUUGUGGGGGAGCCGUCGAAGGUGGGACUGGUGAUUAGGACUAAGUCGUAACAAGGUAGCCGUACCGGAAGGUGCGGCUG
rnacentral:rRNA from 1 species